GAACAGUUUGCUGAGACAGAAGGCAGAAUUUAUUCCCCAACUGGAAUCUGAGGAUGACACAAGUUAUUUUGAUACUCGGUCUGAGAAGUAUCAUCAUAUGGAAACGGAGGAAGAAGAUGACACAAAUGAUGAAGACUUUAAUGUGGAAAUAAGGCAGUUUUCUUCAUGUUCACACAGGUUUUCAAAAGUAAGUGAAAUGUGGCAUAAACAUACACAGUCUCUCUGGGAGGAUCUCCCGCUGGCCAGAUAGUAUCCCCGAAAAGCUGGACACUUACCGUUUUCCAGGGUUUGAGGUCUCCUAUGCUUAAACUUCCUUUUGUUGAAGAAAAGUGACCUCCUCAACUUAUAGUCUGUCCCUAUCCCCUAGGCUUUUAGACCACCAUUUUACCUUCUCUCUUUCCUGUGAGACAACAGAGAUUCAGAUAGCUGAGACCUUGGGCUUACCUGAGCUCUGAUCCCCUUCAGGAACCCCGGCACCAAUAUAUUUCUCUCUCCACAAAUUAAGAUAUUGUUUUCUUAGAGGCAUAGCCUUGCACCCACAGUCUUGUUUUUGGAGUGUGUGACUGCUACUUAUAUGAUGACCUUGCCUUGAACGUCUCUCACCUGGCUCAAUGCCAGGCUGCAGAGGUAUCACUCAUUGCUUUCAACUCAGGAUGAAGAGCGCGAGCUUCAUU
rnacentral:sRNA from 1 species